CACGUAGGGCGCGAGCGUUGUCCGGAAUCAUUGGGCGUAAAGCGCACGUAGGCGGCCCUGUAAGUCCGUUGUGAAAGUCAAAGGCUCAACCUUUGAAUGCCGAUGGAUACUGCAGGGCUAGAGUCCGGAAGAGGCGAGUGGAAUUCCUGGUGUAGCGGUGGAAUGCGCAGAUAUCAGGAGGAACACCAAUAGCGAAGGCAGCUCGCUGGGACGGUACUGACGCUAAGGUGCGAAAGCGUGGGGAGCGAACAGG
rnacentral:rRNA from 1 species